GCAGCCGCCGCCAUGACCAGCAGCAUGUGAAGACGCCGGUAAGCCACCAGCCACGUGGCAAGGUAACUUCUUCGCAGUGGCCAUCACUGGGGGAGCAGUUUGCAGUGCCAUCUUGGACCAACAGCUUUGUCCAACAGAACUCUCAGAAACACACAUGCUCUGGCCCUACCUGAGACCAGCCGCUCCUGAAGAUCUACGGGGCCACGGCAGGCUGACCUGACAAGCCCUCAGGAGGAAAGGUGUUGGGUAGUUCCAAGGCUUCCUUGUGUGCAUGCUAGUGCGCAGAGAGGCACGAAUCCUUUUUCCUGCCUCAGCACCAAGCUGCUGCAGAGGAGACCGAAGCCUUCCUAAAGCACAGGCAAGCCAAACCUCUGAGGCCUGUGAUCCCAACACUCAGAAGGCUGAGACACAAGACUGAUGGCCAGUGAGGUGGCUCAUCAGGUGAGGCACUUGUGGCUAAAGACUGACAAUCUGAGUUCAGUUCCUGGAACCCAAAUGGUGGAAGGAGUGAGAACCACUCCUGAAAGUUGUCCUCUGACUCCCACAUCCUCACCCCCAACA